UGAUAAAAGGGUUAAUUUGGAGUUUAAGAAAGUAUACCACCAUGGUAACAGCUAUAAACAAAUUCUCUGUUAUUACUGGAUGUGCAGUGGUGUGUGACUUACGGACUCCUCUCUCUCCAUAGCCCAGGUGUGGAGGAAUAACAAGGUGCCUUUUCUCUCCCACACACAUCUCCAUCAGUCCGUCCUCCAUCCCUGGGACCACCUGGUUGGCUCCCAGGACGAUGUUGCGAACAACAGUGACCUCAGUGCUGUCAGACGGGUUGUGGAAGUCGAUGAUGUGAACGUCAAACACCAGCACAGCUGAACCAGGGAUCUUAGAGCCUGACAGAGACAUGGGAAAGACCAAAAAAAUAUGAAACACUCCAGAAAAAGGAGUAUAAAUGGACAUCUUCAGUGCACAGGGACAUGCUGCCACCCUGAGGCCACUUGAAGAAUAACAUUAAUUUCUAUUUAUAAUAAAAUUUACUUUGAGUCUGUUACUAACAUGAUGAUUAUUGAAAAUUGACACAAACCUGGAAUCAAAAAAUGUUCCAU